rnacentral:rRNA from 1 species
GAGCGAGAAGGGGGGCAACCCCCGAGUACAGCGGCGGACGGGUGAGGAACACGUAGGUAACCUGCCCUUCGGUGGAGGACAACGGUCCGAAAGGACCGCUAAUACUGCAUUCGUUUCCCGGGACCCCGGUCCUGGGAAGGAAAGCCUCGCAAGGGGCGCCGGAGGAGGGGCCUGCGUCGCAUCAGCUAGUUGGUGGGGUAAUGGCCUACCAAGGCGAAGACGCGUAGCUGGUCUGAGAGGAUGAUCAGCCACACUGGGACUGAGACACGGCCCAGACUCCUACGGGAGGCAGCAGUGGGGAAUAUUGGACAAUGGGCGAAAGCCUGAUCCAGCCACGCCGCGUGAGUGAUGAAGGCCUUCGGGUCGUAAAGCUCUGUGGGGAGGGACGAAUUUCCCGUUGAAGAAACGGGAGUGACGGUACCUCCUUAGCAAGCACCGGCUAACUUCGUGCCAGCAGCCGCGGUAAUACGAAGGGUGCAAACGUUGCUCGGAAUCAUUGGGCGUAAAGCGCACGUAGGCGGCCUUGCAAGUCGGAUGUGAAAUCCCACGGCUCAACCGUGGACGUGCAUCCGAAACUGCUCGGCUCGAGUAUGGAAGAGGGUCGCGGAAUUCCCGGUGUAGAGGUGAAAUUCGUAGAUAUCGGGAGGAACACCAGUGGCGAAGGCGGCGACCUGGGCCAAUACUGACGCUGAGGUGCGAA